rnacentral:tRNA from 1 species
GCCUUCGUGGUGUAACGGUAGCACGCUGGUCUGGUAUUCCAGAGGUCCGUGGUUCGAUUCCCGGCGAAGGCG